GGAUGAGAAUAGUUUAGCCCUGAGUAAUGCACAGUAAAAAAGAAAUUUUGAUCUGAUGGUUUCUGUGGUUGAUUGUGGUCGUGUCUUUUAGGACACUAAUGAUCCAUAUGUGGGAACUGUAGUAUACCACUUUACCGCCCAAACACUGGUAUAUGAAACAACAGAAAUAGUUUCAGACUGAUGGGGUUAUAGGAGAAGUAUUGCCCAAUUGACAGCUGUUUUCCGUAAAAGCAAAGAAAGAAAAUGUAAUUUAAAAUAUUAUAGAUCUAGACAUAUAGAAAAGUUUACUAUAAUAAUAAUAAAGUAGUGAAAGGUAUGAAGAAAGCAGUGAAAGAUGGAGGAUUGGAUUGGACUGAGAAAUGUUUAGAAAAAAUAUUUUAGGUUGGAUUGAAGGGAUGGUUCUUCUGUCAGGGACUGGGGUUGGCAUAACUUUGAGGAAAAAUGAACUAAUUUUGCCAGUCUGAGAUGAUAAAGGAUAAACGGGCCGAUUGCUAUGUCCCUAAUAAAUUCCCUCAGCUAUAGCGGCAUCUAUAUAGAGGCUCUUUAAAGCUUCAUGAUACUCAUACACAGAAAAUAACUUCUUAAUGUUUUUUGUUUCCGAACUGGUUAUUUCAGUGAAGGUUAAAUGCUGAUAAGUGUUGUUUAUAACAAUAAAAAAAUCAUAGAAAUCAAAAGACUCAAAGCAAUGGGUUUCUCAUGAUGUAUAUUCACAGUCUAAACAGGCAGUGUAUUAAUUUUCUAGGGCUGGCUUAACAAAAUACUGAAGAUUAUGUGGAUUAAACAAUGUGUUUAAUUUAUCAUAAUUCUGGAGUCUGAAAAUAUGAGAUCAAGGUGUUGGCAGGGCUGUUGGUGUUUUGUUUCUUCUUUACUUGGCUUGCAGAUGGCCAUCUUCUCACUGUCUCUUCACAUGGUCAUCUCUGUUUCUGCACGUGUGCCUGCUGUCUCUCUGUGUAUCCAAAUUUCCUGUUUCUAUAAGGGCACCAGUGGCAUUGGACUGGGACCCACCCUAAAGACCUCAUUUUAACUUAAGCACUCCUUCAAAGACACCGUCUCCAAACAUGGCCACACUCUGAGGCACUGGAGGUUACGACCUCAACAUAUGAAUUUUGGGGAGAAGCAAUUCAGCCUCAAACAGAAGGAUGAGGUUGAUAUGAUUCUAUUUAACCGUCAUUCCAUAUGGGUGCCUUUUAUAACGGUAGAAUUUUUUUUUUUUUUUUUUUGACGGAGUCUCGCUGUGUCACCAGGCUGGAGUGCAGUGGAGCGAUCUUGGCUCACUCCGCCUCCCAGCAGGGGCGGGGUUUCACCAUGUUAGCCAGGAUGGUGUCCAUCUCUUGACCUCGUGAUCCGCCUGCCUGCGCCUCCCAAAGAGCUGGGAUUACAGGCCUGAGCCACCGCGCCCGGCCGUACAGUUUGUAUUCUAACACCAACUCAUAAGGGAAUAAACCAGGGUUACAAGUGUUGCUGCCUCACCAUGGACAUCCCACAGGACAAUCCACUGAACAAAUAACCCUUUUGUGUAGAUCCAGGAUACUUUUCACUUCCUAAACAUAAAUCCCACCACAUCUGUUCAACCAGCUCUGCUCCAGGAUAAAAAAAUAUAUAUUGAUGAAUUUCCAGCCUUGUUUCAUAUUCUGUUGUUCCCGGCAGCAGAUUUAUUUUUUAUAGUUGUAAACCGCCAAGUCAUUUUUUGGUGCUGUCUUUUGUUUUAUAAAGUCUUCCCUAUAAAGACAAACUACAGAGCAUUAUCAAGAUUUUCUGUUAAAUUGUAAAGUUCUUUAGACUUAAAUUUAAAUUAAGAUAUAUUCUUUAAGUACAAAUGAUAUUUUUAAAUUUAUCUAAGGGCCUGGUGGAGUAUGAAGACAAAAAGAAAGAAAACUCUUAAAGAGGGUCACCUUCACUGAUAUUGGCAAAUCCUUGUGUUUUCUGUCUGAAAGAUGAUUCAUGAAUGUUUUGCAUCACUUUCCUUUAGAGAAAGAGUGCAUUCUUAAAGCAUAAACAAUACCUAUUACAAAGCAGCUUCAGUUUUUUUGUACAUUAAAAUAUAUAUAUAAUAUUUGUAUAUAUUGUUCUAAAUCCCUUGCUCAUUCUGAAAAAGUUUUUUUUUCUGACUUGUUUACAAUGACUCUCUUUGUUUUUUUACUGAAAUCAAGUUAGUACUAUCUUCCAAAUGACUAGUGUGUAGAGGGAAAUUUAUAGCACUAAAUGCCCACAAGAGAAAGCAGGAAAGAUCUAAAAUUGACACCCUAACAUCACAAUUAAAAGAACUAGAGAAGCAAGAGCAAACACAUUCAAAAGCUAGCAGAAGGCAAGAAAUAACUAAGAUCAGAGCAGAACUGAAGGAGAUAGAGACACAAAAAACCCUUCAAAAAAUCAAUGAAUCCAGGAGCUGGUUUUUUGAAUAGAUCAACAAAAUUGAUAGACCGCUAGCAAGAUUAAUAAAGAAGAAAAGAGAGAAGAAUCAAAUAGUUUAGAAGAUUUUUUAACAUUUAAUAUUAUGUAGAAUUUUUUACCUAAAUAUGAUAAGUUUUUAUUUAAUCUCCAAUGGCAUCAAUAUAACAUCUGAAUUGAAAAAUAUGGUGUAGGCAUCACCUCUUAUAUAAUAAAGCCAUCAGUGGGUAUUAAAUGUCACUGGACUAAUAAUGGCUAAUUACUUAAAAAACUAUUUCUCAAUAUUGGUUAUCUAACAUAUACUUAAAUACCUUUAAGAGACACCUCCAAAUUAUUAUAUGUAGCUUUGGCCUAUUUUGAUGAAUUAGUAGUUGUUUCUUUCAUGACUGAAAAUAUAUCUUAGUAACUUCUUGAUAUUGAUUCUAAUGAUUUUUAUCCAUCAAUAUCAUAUACAAAAUGUAUAAAUUUUCCACUUGAAAAUUCUUAAACUGUUUUUGAACAUAUAGUAUAUAUCCCCUAGGCUUUUCUUUCUUAAGAUUAAACAUAAUUUCAUGUUUCAAACAAAUACAAUUUCCCUCGAAAAAACUUUAAUCGGUUUAUUUAUAAUUGUUAUAAAGUUGAAGUGCUGAAGCUUAUUCACUGAAACAUAUUGACUUGCAUUAAUGUUUUAGGUCCUUGAAUAUAUGAUAAGAAUUCAAACACAGAUAUAUAUAUAUAUAUAUAUAUAGAGAGAGAGAGAGAGAGAGAGAGAGAGAGAGAGAGAGAGAGUGAGAGAGAGAGAGAGAGAGAGCGCCUUUGGGGAGGGGCCCUGCCUUUUGCAGCAUAAGCUCAACUACACUUUAAAUACAUAUAUACACAUAUAUAUAUACACAUAUAUAUAUAUAUAUAUACACACACAUAUAUAUGUAGAUUUUCCACAUUUCUUCCUUCCUGUACAUUUAUAUGGGUGACCAUGAGCAAACCAAAAACUUUCAGACGUUAGAUUCUGAGCAAGGCUGUUGUUGUUCAAAAGAUGACUUAUUUGUAAUUGUGUAGCUCUUUGGUUUGAGAGAUAUACUAAUCUUAACAUCCAGCUAUCCAUUUUGUCCUUUUCCACUGCCCUGCACACCUCUGCUGGGUGUCCACUGCUCUGCACACCUCAUGGAUUGAUUAUCCCUGCUGACCUGGGCACUUAUAUUUUCUUACUCUGAACUGAUGACCAGGUAGGCAAAGCUGGGGACAGGAAAGGGUGCUAUCAGAAAACUCCACUCAUGGAGGCUUUCACUUUCUUCCUAUGUUUCUUUACACCAAACUGCACUUUCCAACCACCACUACCACUACACACACACAGGUAAAUUUUCUAAUUCCUAAGUCAAGGUUUUGUGUGUGUGUCGUGUGUGUGUGUGUGUGUGUGUGUUUCUGUGAGAAGUCUGGUCUAUUAAACUUCCUGGUCGAGUUGUGUGUAGAAGCUUAUCAGCCUAUGCUAAUAUGCCAUCCUGUCUGGAACAACAACAAAAAAAGUGUAAAGUUAUCUUUCUUUUCUAGGGGAAACCUCCCAUGCUUGAAUUUUCUUUAAUUAAUUUAUUUCUAGGAAAGCUCUCCUUUGAUGUUAACUUCACACAUAAAAAUCAAUAACAUAGAUGAAAUAAUUCAGAAUGUUCUUGGGUCAGAACAAUGAAUACAAGGGUAUAGAUGCUCAGAGAGCAGAUAGAAAUCAUGGCAGGACAUAAACGGAUUUCAAAGGCCUGAGUGUGAGACACAUAACACAAUGUUGAUAUUUGGGGUGUAGGCUGCUCAAAUGUAUUUUCCAAGAUGCUGAGUUUAUUCAUUAAUUUUAAGGCAAUAUAGCUACUUAAAACUAGAGAAUAGAUUCAUAUUUGAGAAUCAAGUCUUGUAUUUUUCUUUUUGGUAAAGUCAGCAAUAUAAUUUUCUUUAGUUAUCAGAGCUUAUGAAUACGAUUUGCUAUUUUGGAUGAUAAUUGUUUUGCGACUUGUCCAAAGGAGCUAGGGAAAGAUAAUUUGGAUAUGGGUUUGAAAGACUUUUUAAUUAAUUAUGUUGACUAUUCCACAUAUGCCUUAUGGUUAAAUUAAUUUAUUAAUAAUAUUAAAUUUCUACACAUUUUAGAAACACUGGAAAUAAACAUUUUUGGCUAAUAAAAUAAGCAUAUGAUUGUAAAUAGUUUUCACACUAGAUUAUCUGCUCUGUGCCUUACUCGAUAUAUCACUAUUCUAUCCCCAAUUCCUAGCACGUAGUAUGUACUCAAUAAACACUUGUUAAAUAAAUGAAAUGUUGAUAAUGAGUUAAGCCUAUUAUUAACUACAUUUUUAUUUUCAGAUAGUGUUUUUUUCAUAUAGAUCACUUAUUCCAUUUCAGAUUAUGGUGCUACUUCUGUUACCCAACUUAGACAUAACUAUUUGUUCUUUCAUCAUGAAACACAUGGAAAAAAUUUUAAAGACAAUCCCGGCUGCUGGAAAACCACAGUAGAGUGAGGACUAGAUUAUAUGAGGGAAUUGAUUUCAUUUUAGUUUAAUCUUAUCCUGAUAUAGGAAGCUCAUAUAAACAAAUAUCUCUAUUUCCCUUCAAGAAAUAAAUUUCCAUUUGCAGCUGGUAAAUUGUAAUCAACAUUGUUUUGCUGAUGUGACUUCUGUUAGAAUAAGUAAUUUAAAUGUUUCGUAAAGACCACCCACACAUUAAAAUACUAUUUAACAAAUACGCACAUUUAGUUUGAAGUUAGUAUGUAGCAAUGCUUGAAUACAAAGUGACAGAUAUUCUUAAAAAUGGUAUGCAUGUUUGAAAAUAUUGUUAACUUGUAUCUAGAAAGAGGCUAUAUUUUACAUGUCUGUCAGCACAUACUUUUAAAAAGGUAUUUUUAAGAAAGGCCAUUUUAACUGGCUUGAGAAUGGCACAUGUAUACCUAUGUAACAAACCUGCACAUUCUGUACAUGUAUCCCAGAACUUAAAGUAAAAUUUAAAAAAAAUAUAUUUUGUGGGGAUAUUUGGGGGCUGCUGGUCCCCACAAAAUUUCAGAAUUUAUAUUUUAUUCUAGUAGUAGCCAAAAUACUUUUGAUAAACUUUUUAUUUUAAAUGAAAUUACAGUAUUCAUCAGAUACCAGAGCAUAAAAUUCAUUUAAUUAGGGGAUCUUUGAUUAAAAGAUCAGGGAGAAAUGUUAAACUAUUUUAAGCAACCCUUGUACUUAGCUUAAUGAAAUUUGGGUAGAGGAUUUAUUCAUUUUAUAGAUGAGGAAACUGAGGUGCAGAAAGAGAAAAGUUUUACCAUAUUCCAUUUUAAUUUUCCCCAUUCUUUCUGCUUUGGUCUAUUUCUGGCCUGGUCUGGAAAAACAAUGAAAUUAUCACUGAUUGACUCCCCCUAAGAAGAAGAAAAAAUAAACUGAAAAGUGUGGGGACUGGGGGGCAGAUCCUUUUCUAAAUAAAGUGUAUAUUCUUGCUUCAAUUGGUUAUACAAGAACCGACUGAUAAAAACCGACUGUAUUUUUCUUUUUUGUUUUUGUUUUUGUUUUUCUUUUUUUUUUUUUUUGAGACGGAGUCUCGCUCUGUUACCCAGGCUGGAGUGCAAUGGUGUGAUCUCGGCUCACUGCAACCUCUGCCUCCUGGGUUCAAGCAAUUAUCCUGCCUCAGCCCCCCGAGUAGCUGGGAUUACAGAUGUGCACCACCACGCCUGGCUAAUUUUUUGUGUUUUAGUAGAGACACGGUUUCACCAUGUUGGUCAAGAUGGUCUCAAUCUCCUAACCUCGUGAUCCGCCCACCUCGGCCUCCCAAAGUGCUGGGAUUAUAGGCAUGAGCCCCCAUACGUGGCCAAAUUGUAUUUUUCAAAGUAUUAUGAUUAGAAUUUACUUUCAUAUGUUAAAAAUAUAUAUUUUAAGCUAUUGAUAUAGAAAAAUACUUUUUUAAUACUAAGUCAACAUUAUUUGGAGACAAGCUACAUACUACUAUUAAGUGUCCCAUAGCAUCACUCCAAGAAAGAAGAGUAAUCACCUUAAUAAGUUUUACUUAAAAAAAAAUUUCUUCAAGGAAUCAGCAUUAUGUUCAAAUAUAUUACUGUUGUGAUUUCUGGAAUUGUGGUCUCAAAAGAAAACCUUUGGUUGCUAGGCAAAUAAUAAUGUAAUACUUUUAAGUACAAUUGUUCAUAUUACAUUUCACACUUAAAAAGUUAUAAAUUUUUAAAAAAUAAAAAAGUGUCAAGUAUAUUCUAAUGAUUUUGGAAUUCUCCCUUUCAAUAGAGAUUAUAAGCUAGGUUCUCUUAAUAAAGAAUUGGUUUUAGCAUAACUAAUAGAGCUUUUUAACAGGGAACCGUACUUGGCACCUAAACCCACAGGUAUUGAUUUUAUACUUAUUGAGUGAACUUAGAAUAGGUAUGUUUUAAAACUUCCACAAGUAAAUAAGUCCUUCUGCAGGCCAGGAUUGAAAAUGAAGCUGUAAACAAACUCUGAAGAGCUGUCUUGAUCACUUUGAAGUAGACAUAUGUACCCUCAAAUAAUAGAGACUCUCCUCCUUUACAUCUCUUUUUAUUUCUGUGCUCCCCAAUUUAUCCUUCUACAAUUAUUUCCUCCUAACUCUUUCUGAGAAUGCAGAAGUGGCUGAGAGGCUCUUGCAAAAAUCCAAAAUAUAUAAUGUGUUAUUCUUUUUAAAGCAAGAGAUUUUUGGAGAAACACGGGCCUCUUUUGAGGCUUGCCACACACCGAAAAAUAAAAUAACAUAAUAAAAACAAUAAAGCAGGUGAAUGUAGUUACUACUAAAACAUUCACAGAGUACUGCAAUUCUAGCUUCUUCAAGAAAAAUAGUUGUCUACUCCACCUAAUUAUAAUUUAGCAUCUCAAGCUUUUCCUUAGGUCCUCAAUAUUAUCUCACUUUUUACUUUAAGAGCAGUUGUGAAACAAUUUUUUAGGCCAAAGUGAUCUGUCCCUUUGCAUGGCAUGGAUCAGCAUCACAGAAAAAUUAUAGAAGGAAAUACAUUGCAAUUUUCAGAAGACUGAGACAUUCCUCCAUACUCUUAAAAGUAUUAUGAAAAUUGUAGAACAUUAUAGCUUCUUGUUCAUUGGUCAUUUCUGCUUGAAUCUCCCAGGCACAUCAACAUUCAUGGCCAAAAUUGAAUGCAUUAUAUUUAGUACUAAACUGAAGUCCUCCUCUCACAAUAAAUAAUUCUAUUUUCACAGCUAUUUCCAAAACUAAUAACCUGGAGAUCGCUUGUGAUUUCUCUUUUGUCUUUGGUGACACUAUUAAGACACUGAGUACUGACAAUUUAUUUCUGAAACAUCUCACAAAUUCAUCUAUAGUUAUCUUUCUGAUAAAGACAAUGAUCAGAUUAUCUGCUGCCUGAACUAGUACAACAAAAUAUUAAAUGGCUUAUCAAAUUUGCACAGUGUAGUAGAAUUUUCCCUUAAACCAUGUCUGCUCUGCUUUAAUUCAUUCAUUUGAUUCCCAAGCCCUAAGAAUAAAGAUGCCUGACAUAUGCAGCCCUGAAUCAUGGAGGUUUGCCUUCUUUCCCGCAUCGUCUCUUGCAUUCUCCCAAUCACACAUUCAGUGCCCAUAAACUCUGAACUUCAGAUAUACUGAACUAUUUUGCCCAUCAAAGUCACCGGCUAUCUCUUAUUUAUAGGCUUUUGCACAUGCAAGAUUGUGUCCAAAAGCCAACCUCUCAACAUUCAUUCCCCCCGACUACAAGUCAUUCUCCAGAUUUUCCUUUUUUUCUGCGCAACCCUUAUUUAUCUUCCAAGUCUCCCCUUAAAUAGCGGUUCUUCUGAGACACAUUUCUGGCCCUGAGACUAAGUUAGUUCUUUUUUCAUUAUUAUUUUUAUUUUUUUUCUUCUGUUGCAUCCGCUAUUUCCCUUAUAAUAAUAAGGUAUAAUACCUCACUACAAAUACCUAUUUUAGUUAUCUUUUCAUUGUACCCAAAUUCUAUGAGAAUAUGCCUGUGCCUACCUGUCACCUACUAAAGAAAAUGAGUACCAAAUGAAUAAUAAUUUUUAAAAUGGAAUGAAAUCCCAUAGUUAACAAACUGUCCUAAUUAGAAAUGCCAUUUGAAAGAUUAUCUUCAAUAAGAUAGGGACAUUUUGUAAAAUGAAAUAAAACAAAAUUACAUUGGAAGAGGGAUGUCUAUUUGUAAGCAUAUCAGUGUUUUAAUGUGCUUGCAGACACCCGGGAUCAUGCUACAUCUUAAAAUCUUUUCUUUUUUUUAAAAAAACUCAAGAGGUAUGGAAGGCCUUUGAGUGGUACUUUUUAUGUAAUUCCUGUGACUAACAGAUUUUUUAUUAACAUAAUCACAUUACUCUGAGACAAAUAGUUGUGGAACACUGUGGAGCAUAGAGAUCAAGGGCCAGUCAUUCAACGUUUAAAUUGGUAGCACCUUAGAAAAUUGUAGGAAUGUGCUUUCAUAAUUAACAAAGAAAUGAGGCCGGGCGCGGUGGCUCACGCCUGUAAUCCCAGCACUUUGGGAGGCCGAGGCGGGCGGAUCACGAGGUCAGGAGAUCGAGACCAUCCUGGCUAACACGGUGAAACCCCGUCUCUACUAAAAAUACAAAAAAUUAGCCGGGCGUGGUAGCGGGCGCCUGUAGUCCCAGCUACUCGGGAGGCUGAGGCAGGAGAAUGGCGUGAACCCGGGAGGC
rnacentral:lncRNA from 1 species